UGGAAUUGCACGAUGGCGUGACUGGUGCGCAGAUCCGACCUUUGACGUCCUUUGGUUACAGUGAGGGACAGGUACCAGUGGGUGCAACACCACAGAGCCAGGCACAGGUCCCUGAAGUCAUGGCUUCAAUUGGCAAUCAGGUUCACUUAGGCGGUGGGAUAUUUAUUCCCAUGGACAAGUGGGAUUGUGCCUCCAAGGCUACAUCUGAUUCCAGGUUUGUGAGGGAAUUUGUGUGGGAAUAUGGUCACCUGAGGAGCUGCGCUGUCGGAGCAUUACAGGCAAGCCCUGCCAAAGGUUUGCGAAAGCAGGCGCAGCAGGCAGGAGGGCCCUAACUCCUCAAAAACUAACUGCACUCACGAAUGCUUUUGAAGCAUACAUCAUGAGAAACCCUUGUCCGAAGGGUAUGAAGGCCAAGGAACGUGUAUGCCGCAGGAACCGGAUCCUGGCAGAUUACCUGAAGACUUUGUAAACUGCUGUU